UAUGUAUUUAAACAAAAGCAAACAAAGAUCUAAAAACAAAGAAAAAUACAUUAAUAUACAAAAUUGCCCCAAUCAAAAAAACUUAAAAAAACAUUCUAAUUAAAAAAUUUAGCAAAAAUUUUAAAUAAAUAAAAAUUUAAGGGUCUUUUAGUCUUUUAAAAACCAAUCAAAACUUUUUAUAAAUAAAACAAAUUCAAAAUAAAUAUAAAUCAAAAAGAAGAUUUAAAAUCCCAUUCAUACAAGUUUUCAAUAAAAAAACAAAUGAUUACGCUACCUU
rnacentral:rRNA from 1 species